rnacentral:rRNA from 1 species
UACGUAGGGGGCAAGCGUUGUCCGGAAUCAUUGGGCGUAAAGAGCGUGUAGGCGGCUCGAUAAGUCCGCUGUGAAAGUCCAGGGCUCAACCCUGGAAUGCCGGUGGAUACUGUCGGGCUCGAAUCCGGAAGAGGUGAGUGGAAUUCCUGGUGUAGCGGUGAAAUGCGCAGAUAUCAGGAGGAACACCAGUGGCGAAGGCAGCUCACUGGGCCGGUAUUGACGCUGAGACGCGAAAGCGUGGGGAGCAAACAGG